rnacentral:lncRNA from 1 species
UGAGUCGAGAGAGAGAGAGAGAGAGAGAGAGAGAGAGAGAGAGAGAGAGAGAGAGAGCUGGAAAAACGAAUGAUGCAAGGCUGUAUACUUGGGUGGAGGUCAAAGGAAAGGCAGAGGAUUCAGUGGCCAAAAAGCAAGCAAAGGGGUUGCUGGGCCACGCUACCAUGACUCCGCAAUAACAGGAAACGCUGGAAAGGAAAACAAAUGAAUGAAUGCUGCUUAGUCACAACCCUGGGGGAAAUUGGAGGUGCCACUACAUGGAAAGUCAACAAAGAGUCUUCAGCCAUCUUCUCCAUUACACUAUCAUUUAUUAGACUUGCUGAGACAAAGGGAGACUGAAUGGAGUCCUGAAGUCAACGUGUGAA